rnacentral:rRNA from 1 species
UACGUAGGGCGCAAGCGUUGUCCGGAAUUAUUGGGCGUAAGAGCUCGUAGGCGGUUUGUCGCGUCUGCUGUGAAAACCUCAGGCUCAACCUGGGGCUUGCAGUGGGUACGGGCAGACUAGAGUGCGGUAGGGGAGAUUGGAAUUCCUGGUGUAGCGGUGGAAUGCGCAGAUAUCAGGAGGAACACCGAUGGCGAAGGCAGAUCUCUGGGCCGUAACUGACGCUGAGGAGCGAAAGCGUGGGGAGCGAACAGG